GUCACUUUGGCAGCACAUAUACUAAGAUUGUAAUGAUACAGAGAAGAUUAGCAUGGCUCCUGUGUAAGAAUGACACACAAAUUCUUAAAGCAUUUUGUAUUUUU